rnacentral:rRNA from 1 species
UACGUAGGGAGCAAGCGUUGUCCGGAAUCAUUGGGCGUAAAGCGCGCGUAGGUGGCUUUAUAAGUCCGUUGUGAAAGUCAAAGGCUCAACCUUUGAAAGCCGAUGGAUACUGUGAAGCUAGAGUACGGAAGAGGCGAGUGGAAUUCCUGGUGUAGCGGUGGAAUGCGCAGAUAUCAGGAGGAACACCAAUAGCGAAGGCAGCUCGCUGGGACGUUACUGACACUGAGGAGCGAAAGCGUGGGGAGCGAACAGG